rnacentral:sRNA from 1 species
AUAUCUCUCUGUACGGGAAGGAUGAGAAGCUUCGACCAAGGUUCGAUUCGAGCGCAGCGAGAAAGCGUUGCCGCAGGCAACGACCCGAAGGGCGAAGCGCGCAGCGCUGAGUCAUCCUUCCCCC